UAUCAUGUACUGUCUACACGCUUUAACGUUAUUUUUACUUUUCAACUUUACACUGUGCUGGUACCCUCAGUAUGACCUAGAAAAAGCUGAUGAAUAUUUUGCUGAUAUUAUAAAAAAAUACGAAAGAAAAUACGCAAGCGCCGCAGAGUUCCGCAUGCGGUUUGAGAUAUUUAAGAGAACACUGGAAAAUAUUAACGAAUGGAAUAAAAAUAAUAAAUAUACAGAUAUAUGGUUUGCAAUUACUCGAUUUGCCGACCAAGAAGACUUCAAACCAUUAGAUCUGUCUACAAUUAGAAACACAACGGAAGGAAUUGAAGUGGAGAAGAAAUUUAUUUUAAAUGCCCCGGAAGAGCUGGAUUACCGUGAUCAAAAUUUAGUCACUAAAGUGAAAUUCGAGAAAAAUGCGAUGAUUGUUACAUUUUUGCCGCUAUAGGAAAUAUUGAAGGCAUGCAUGCCAAAAAGUCCGGUGGCGACCUUCAGUCAUUAUCGGAGCAGCAAGUUCUAGAUUGUACUCAAGCAGUGUGUUACAGGGGUGGAUUGCCCGCGAAUGCAAUGAAUGACAUGACUGGUAAAAGUUUAAUGACCGAGAUGGACUACCCAUAUGCUGGAAAAAAACAACAAUGCCACGCCGGCAAAGGCAAAGUUAAAGUUAACGGUGGAAAAGUUAUUAAUACCCCCGAUACUGAAACGCUAAAAGGAGCUCUUGUGCAGAAUGGUGCACCU